UGCCCCAUAGCUCAAUGGCGGAGCGGGCGGCUGCACGGUUGCAAGUUCGACUCUUGCUGGGGCAGCCA
rnacentral:tRNA from 1 species